UCUGCUGCUCCACUUAAAUUCCUGUUCAAUCCAAGAAUGCCCUCAUCCCCCCUGUGAUCCCAACAGCCAAACCAUUUGGGAAUGACUGUAUUUUGUUUCUUUCUACAUGUUCCAUUACUGCCUCCUCAAAGGUUGUCCUGCAAGAACAGAUGUUAAGUCUGCCAUCCCCUCCUUGUACUGCUGUUGCUAAAAAAGCACCAGUCCGCUCCCAAAUGGGGAGAAAUCCCAAAAGGAAGAGGAUUUCUGGUUGCAGAGAAGCUGUCAGGAUGGAGUGCAGUUUGGUAUUCACAGAGCGGCGUCAGCCCUGCACAUAGCCCGGGUGGUGCUGAGUGUUGGGGAGAUCCUGCAGAUCAGUGCUGCCUGAACCACACUGAUAAAGUCUCCAGGCCUCUUCCUUGGGGAGGAAGCUUUUCUCCUGUGCGAUAUGAUGCCCUAGCUGGGGUUUGCGCUGAAACCAAAGUGUGGAUCUGGACUCCUUGGAGACUGAAAUGAGGGAAUUUAUCAGCAGAUAGCAGAUGAGUGAGAAUAGGUGUCUUCUGUGAUGUGACUGUGACUUAGAGUGAUUGAUGUGAUGGCUGCUGUCACUUUGGCCAAACGUCCUGAGCCUGGAACUUGGGGUGUUCAGGAAGAAUUUCU